rnacentral:rRNA from 1 species
UGGGGAAUAUUGGACAAUGGGGGGAACCCUGAUCCAGCCAUGCCGCGUGUGUGAAGAAGGCCUUAUGGUUGUAAAGCACUUUAAGCGAGGAGGAGGGUACUGGUAUUAAUACUACCAGGUACUGGACGUUACUCGCAGAAUAAGCACCGGCUAACUCUGUGCCAGCAGCCGCGGUAAUACAGAGGGUGCGAGCGUUAAUCGGAUUUACUGGGCGUAAAGCGUGCGUAGGCGGCUAAUUGAGUCGGAUGUGAAAUCCCCGAGCUUAACUUGGGAAUUGCAUUCGAUACUGGUUAGCUAGAGUGUGGGAGAGGAUGGUAGAAUUCCAAGUGUAGCGGUGAAAUGCGUAGAGAUCUGGAGGAAUACCGAUGGCGAAGGCAGCCAUCUGGCCUAACACAGACGCUGAGGUACGAAAGCAUGGGGAGCAAACAGG